UAAAAUCUUGAAAAUGUGGUAUAACCCUGACAGUUAUAAACAUGCAAUAUCCAGAACCCAGACAGGUGAAAAUCUGCAACCUAUGGAAGGACCCUGAUAGGUGAGCAUUAAAACAUACAUGUGCAGAACACCUGUGGUUGAUCAAACACGAGUGUUUAGAUGAGAAUCCUCAGGUAGAUUUAAACAAAAUUUGGGCUAGACGGUAAGGCACUCAACCCUGCAUGAUUGAUUGAUAGAUUGUUGGUUGCUUACCGUUCAGUGGCCAUCCUGCAUGAAAACCUGCUAUUAAUCCAUCAAUUCAACUACCUAAAAAUCCAUAGUACGGAUGGUCAUUCACAUACUCUGAUAAACUGUUAAUUUUAAAGUGGAAACUGAAGUCUAAAC
rnacentral:lncRNA from 1 species